GUACACGCUGUGACUAGCAUAUCAAUAAGCGGAGGAAAAGAAACUAACAAGGAUUCCCCUAGUAACGGCGAGUGAAGCGGGAAGAGCUCAAAUUUGAAAUCUUAAAGGGUUUCCCUUUACGAAUUGUAGUUUAAAGAAGUGUUUUCUGUUGAGGUUUUGGUAAAAGUUCUUUGGAAUAGGACAUCAUAGAGGGUGAGAAUCCCGUAUUUGACCUUUACUUUCAACUUUGUGAUACACUUUCAAAGAGUCGGAUUGUUUGGGAAUGCAGUCCAAAAUGGGUGGUAAAUUUCAUCUAAAGCUAAAUAUUGGCGAGAGACCGAUAGCGAACAAGUACCGUGAGGGAAAGAUGAAAAGAACUUUGAAAAGAGAGUUAAACAGUACGUGAAAUUGUCAAAAGGGAAGCGUUUGACACCAGUGUUGUUUUUCUGAAAAUCAAUUAAAGAACUGUUUAUGCUAAGCUGUUUAGACUUUAUCAGCUAUCUGUUUAGUUUUGAGCUUUUCUUUAAUGCACUUUUCAGUUAAACAAGUCAACAUCAAUUUCUUUUGCUGUAAAAAAGCUUGAGGAAGGUGGCUUGAGAUUCGUCUUAAGUGUUUAUAGCCUCUUGCCUAUGCAGUCGGAGAGAUUGAGGUCUGCAGCGUAGAUCCUUCGGGGCUAAAUGCAUUUGUGCUAAGUUAUAGCAUUUUAUAGACAACUUGUUGACUAUGAUUUGUCUUGUAGCUUACUCGCUUAUGUUAUUUUACCUACGCUUAGGAAUGUUGACGCGCGUGUGUGCGUG
rnacentral:rRNA from 1 species